AUGGACAUGAAGGUCCCUGCUCACCUCCUAGCGCUCCUGCUGCUCUGGCUCGCAGGUGCCAGAUGUGACAUCCAGAUGACCCAGUCUCCAUCCUCUUUGUCUGCAUCUCUAGGAGACACAGUCACCAUCACUUGCAAGGCCAGUCAGGGCAUUAGCAAUUGUUUAGCCUGGUAUCAGCAGAAGCCUGGGAAAGCCCCUAAGCCUCUGAUCUAUGAUGCAUCCAGAUUGCAAAGUGGGGUCUCCUCAAGGUUCAGUGGCAGUGGAUCUGGGACAGAUUAUUCUCUCACCAUCAGCGGCCUGGAGGCUGAUGAUUUUGGAACUUACUACUGUCAACAGCAUGGUGCUUAUCCUCUCACAGUGUUAUAA